rnacentral:rRNA from 1 species
AACGUAGGAGACAAACGUUAUCCGGAGUUACUGGGCGUAAAGGGCGUGCAGGUGGUCUGUUAAGUCUGGCGUGAAAGCUCCUGGCUAAACCGGGAGAGGUCGUUGGAUACUGGCGGACUAGAGGACGGUAGAGGCGUGUGGAAUUCCGGGUGUAGUGGUGAAAUGCGUAGAGAUCCGGAGGAACACCAGCGGCGAAGGCGGCAUCCUGGACUGGUCCUGACACUCAGGAGCGAAAGCGUGGGGAGCGAUCCGG